ACAAAAGUGGCCUGAAGUUUAUGCUUGUGCGUCGAUCUCUUCAGGAGAACAGCACGGCCGGCCUGUGUUUGUGCGUGGGGAGUUGAGGACUCGAGAGAGGCAUAGUGAGAGAAACAAAGUGUCUACCUUGUUCUUUCUGACCAUGGUUGGAAAUCUGUAGAAGGAAAAGUUAACCCUCUCCUUGAUGUCAUGUUGUUUAAAGAGAAGCACAACCCGGAAUGAGUCAGGGGAAAGGCAACGCU